AUUGAACGCUGGCGGCAGGCCUAACACAUGCCAGUCGAGCGGAUGAAGGGAGCUUGCUCCUGGAUUCAGCGGCGGACGGGUGAGUAAUGCCUAGGAAUCUGCCUGGUAGUGGGGGAUAACGUCCGGAAACGGGCGCUAAUACCGCAUACGUCCUGAGGGAGAAAGUGGGGGAUCUUCGGACCUCACGCUAUCAGAUGAGCCUAGGUCGGAUUAGCUAGUUGGUGGGGUAAAGGCCUACCAAGGCGACGAUCCGUAACUGGUCUGAGAGGAUGAUCAGUCACACUGGAACUGAGACACGGUCCAGACUCCUACGGGAGGCAGCAGUGGGGAAUAUUGGACAAUGGGCGAAAGCCUGAUCCAGCCAUGCCGCGUGUGUGAAGAAGGUCUUCGGAUUGUAAAGCACUUUAAGUUGGGAGGAAGGACAGUAAGUUAAUACCUUGCUGUUUUGACGUUACCAACAGAAUAAGCACCGGCUAACUUCGUG
rnacentral:rRNA from 1 species